UACGGGGGGGGCAAGCGUUGUUCGGAAUUACUGGGCGUAAAGGGCUCGUAGGCGGCCAACUAAGUCAGACGUGAAAUCCCCAGGCUCAACCUGGGAACUGCGUCUGAUACUGGACGGCUUGAGUAUGGGAGAGGAAUGUAGAAUUCCAGGUGUAGCGGUGAAAUGCGUAGAUAUCUGGAGGAAUACCGGUGGCGAAGGCGGCAUUCUGGACCAUUACUGACACUGAAUCGCGAAAGCUAGGGGAGCAAACGGG
rnacentral:rRNA from 1 species